AGAAGCCCAAUGUCUCACUUUGAAUAUGGAGUCAAAUAAAGAAAAGAAAGAAGCAGCAGACGUGGAGCAAAAGAGAGUCACAGGAAUUUACUUUCAUUUCAUUCAUUUCAUUUUGUUGACCUCAUCCUCACCUGUCGAGCCACCAUGUCACACCUCAAUCUCAAUCUAAUCCUCUGACAUUUUGACCAGCCAAUCAGGAGAUCACAACAUCACUCAAAUAUAUAUGUGGCUGAAUUUUUUUUUUGGAGAACAACAUAAAACGAGUAGCAGCAAAAAAGGAAGAGGGAUUGGAUAAUUUGAGAGACCACACUUGAUAUUUUUAUUACACACUUUUACUCCCAUCCGAUCAAUCACAUAAAACCAUUCACCAAAAACCCUCAUCUUCAUCAUCAAAUCAUCAUCUAAAUCACCAUCAAUCCAUUAUCAUCUAAAAAUCAUCCACCAUCUUUAUCUCUAUCACUCCCUUUACAAAAUCCAUCAACUAUUUUCAUCUAUAAAGUAAAGAUUCAUCACUUUUUGGGGAUUUUGGGUCUUGGAGCAUUGUGAGGGUCGAAGAAGAUGAAGAUUGCCAUCCAUCUCAUCCAUUGAUUUGAUUUUGCAUUUAAGGGUCUAUAAGAUGAUAUAUGACGAAAGUGAGUUAAAUGAAGAUGAGUUAUGAAGAAAAUGAUGAUUGAAGAUAAAAAAAAUAAUAAUGUAACACAUAUUAUUUGUGUUGCAUAAAUAUUAAGUACAAGACUUAAUACUAUGGUGGCUGGACUUGUGAUCAUGUGAACAGCAAAAACCAAAAUACCUAUCAUAUAAUUAUGCAAUUAAAGAAGCAAGGUGCAUGUGAGUGCUCAUGUGAGUGAACAGCCGAAAUCAAUAAGAAGAAAAGAUAAAAGUGAAGUUCACAAAUUAUGGGCUGGAAGCAAAGAAAAGAAGAAAAGUGGGCUAGCCCAGUUUUGGUAUAAUUUUGUGAGUUGGCCGAGAAAAUUAGCCCAAUUUGGACUAAAUUCAACUACAUGUUUUCCAAUUAAUGUCAGCUUCCAAGUUCCAAACCGACUCUUGUUUCAUACGUGGGCUCCAAGAAGACUAUCCCUAUAUAUAAUAUAUGCAUGCAGCCAAUUAGAGAGACAAUCUAUCAUCGAAUAAAAUAAGGAAUUGAGGAGGUCGGCAGGAGGUGGAGUUGGUUUUCGAGAGGGUCAGCCGCAAGCAACUCGACUACAACAACAGAACUCUCGUUCGAACUUGUUUUACUUUCUUUAUUUUAAUUUUUAGCAAUAUUAUUACAAGACUUUAUUAUUUAACAUUAUUAUUAUGGAUUUUAUUUAUAUAAUAAUUGUUAGUUUUAUUUGUGUUGUCAUGUGUAGCUAAGUGUUUUAUCAUCUACUAAGAUGAAGUGACGCAAUGAAUAAAGGGUGCAUGAUUUUAAGAAUUCAAGUUGAUAGUUAAA